UACGGAGGGUGCGAGCGUUAAUCGGAAUUACUGGGCGUAAAGCGCGCGUAGGCGGUCUGAUCAGCCGGUUGUGAAAGCCCCGGGCUCAACCUGGGAACGGCAUCCGGAACUGUCAGGCUAGAGUGCAGGAGAGGAAGGUAGAAUUCCCGGUGUAGCGGUGAAAUGCGUAGAGAUCGGGAGGAAUACCAGUGGCGAAGGCGGCCUUCUGGACUGAUACUGACGCUGAGGUGCGAAAGCGUGGGUAGCAAACAGGAUUAGAUACCCCGUUAGU
rnacentral:rRNA from 1 species